rnacentral:snoRNA from 1 species
CACAAGCCUAUGAUGGUUAGUUAUCCCUGUCUGAAAAUCUGGACUGAGGGAAAUAAUCUAUUCUGAGGCUUAAG